GGAAAAAAAUCGUAUGUGUAUCCUUCACGCCUCGCCCCUGUCCCAAGCGGUGCCGCCGCCAGACCAAUACUUUCCCCUCUCUCAGAUCUCAUCUCCCGACCAUCCGCGCCUCGCCCUGGAUCGCCCAGCUCCGCCGCUCCACGGCCCGCCCCACUGCGCCGCUCCCAGGCCAGCCCCGCUCGGCCGCUCCCCUGCCCACCCCGUUCCGCCGCUCCACUUCUAUUUCCCCGUCUGUACCGCAUUGGUGACCUAGUCACACCAUGGUCGCGAAGGGCGUGGUGGCCCUGGCCAUGUCGGCUGGGUGACGGCGUCGUGCCACUGGCGGUGACUCCAUCUGCGACGCCCUCAACUCGUGCUGCCGCCCUUGACCGUGGUAGACGGUGCCGCCCCCGCUGAUUGAAUGACAACCGGAUUUGCGUGCUGUUGUACGCCACUGCUACCAUCCAUAAGGAUGACAAUUGGAAGAAAAGCAUAUCGACUUUCUCUAGCCAUCAAACCUGUGCCUGCUACUCGGAACACUAUGAUGGAUACGUAAGAGUUUCAGAUCUUCCUGCUGCUAUUCCAAAUAAUGAAGACCGACCUGCUGGGAAGACAUAUAUCUUAUUAAUUUGUAUAAGUAGUUUCUUGUUCUGCAAUAUUUUUCCUUUUUCUAAUACUUGUUUGUUGCAUUUACAAUUUGCUAGAUUUGAAAGUAACCACCAUGUGAAUUUUCUUGUAUUGCAGACUUUGGCAACUAACCAAAGAGUGCCUAUUGCAGAAAUACCGCCGCCGCCGGUUCCACCUUCUCAUUCACUUUCUCCUCGUGGAUCUCCACAACGAUCUACUAUCCAAAUUCUAGAAAAUAGCGAAGAACCACCAGCUUUGUGUGCUCAACAAGAAAUAAAUCCUAGAUCUCUUCACGAAGGCAGGAACAUGGUGUUGCCUCAAGUCUUCGUGUUGCAGACGAUGAAGGGAUGUUUGGGGGAUUCUUUUUCAGCCAGUCACUAUUGAGUAACCAGUUGGGUUCUUGAUGUUAACAUGGUGGUACAUGUUUUGGUGUAACAUUUUGGUGCAUGUAUAGUUAACAUGUUUUGUGAUGUAGAAAACUCUAGUUGACCUACAUCAAUAUAUAGGUGCUAAUUAAGAUGUUUACUCAGUUAGAUGUAGCAAACUCUGGCCAGCGUGCCUAUUUUUUGUCAAACAUUUGAUGGCUGGUGAUGUCUUGGCAUCUAUUGUAUGCAUGUGACGAUUGAUAUCUAUCUAUAUAUUUGAUGUUAUUUUCAUUUCA